AUUGAACGCUGGCGGCAGGCCUAACACAUGCAAGUCGAGCGGAUGAAGGGAGCUUGCUCCUGGAUUCAGCGGCGGACGGGUGAGUAAUGCCUAGGAAUCUGCCUGGUAGUGGGGGAUAACGUCCGGAAACGGGCGCUAAUACCUCAUACGUCCUGAGGGAGAAAGUGGGGGAUCUUCGGGCCUCACGCUAUCAGAUGAGCCUAGGUCGGAUUAGCUAGUUGGUGGGGUAAAGGCCUACCAAGGCGACGAUCCGUAACUGGUCUGAGAGGAUGAUCAGUCACACUGGAACUGAGACACGGUCCAGACUCCUACGGGAGGCAGCAGUGGGGAAUAUUGGACAAUGGGCGAAAGCCUGAUCCAGCCAUGCCGCGUGUGUGAAGAAGGUCUUCGGAUUGUAAAGCACUUUAAGUUGGGAGGAAGGGCAGUAAGUUAAUACCUUGCUGUUUUGACGUUACCAACAGAAUAAGCACCGGCUAACUUCGUG
rnacentral:rRNA from 1 species